rnacentral:tRNA from 1 species
AGCCAUUUGGCCUUUAGAGACUACAGAACUGUAAAUUCUACUUAGGAUUGCCUUACUAUCCCUC